GACGAACGCUGGCGGCGUGCUUAACACAUGCAAGUCGAACGGUGAACCUCUUCGGAGGGGUUCAGUGGCGAACGGGUGAGUAACACGUGGGCAACCUGCCCCCGGCUCUGGGAUAACUCCAAGAAAUUGGGGCUAAUACCGGAUGUUCACCGCUUCCCGCAUGGGUGGUGGUGGAAAGGGUUUCCGGCUGGGGAUGGGCCCGCGGCCUAUCAGCUUGUUGGUGGGGUAGUGGCCUACCAAGGCGACGACGGGUAGCCGGCCUGAGAGGGGGACCGGCCACACGGGGACUGCGAGACGGGCCAGACGGCUACGGGAGGCAGCGGUGGGGAACAUUGCGAAAUGGGCGGAAGCCGGACGCAGCGGCGCCGGGUGGGGGAUGACGGCCUUUGGGUUAUAAACCUCUUUCGGCAGGAACGUAGCGCAAGUGACGGUACCUGAAGAGGAAGCACCGGCCAACUACGUG
rnacentral:rRNA from 1 species